rnacentral:tRNA from 1 species
GGUAGAAUGGCUGAGAUUUAGGCGAUAAACUGUAAAUUUAUAAAGGAAUAUUUAAUUCUUCUACCA